CUGGCACAGCUCCUUCCUCCCGCGGACAUGGCCCCAGGCGCCGCCACCAUAGCCGUGAAGGUUGGAAUAAUUGGCGGAACAGGCCUGGAUGAUCCAGAAAUUUUAGAAGGAAGAACCGAAAAAUAUGUGGAUACUCCAUUUGGCAAGCCCAAGGCUGUUUGCCACACAUGGGGAGGACCAGGAGUUCUGCCAUUGGGUUCCAUCACCUGACUACUGUAGUGAGAACAAGGCUGUUGAGCGUGCACAAGUGACUUCUCAGUUUAUGUUGCUAGAAGCCAACACUCAUUUCAGGCAUAGCAACUGUACCUUGGGAUAUUUGCAUUAAAUCAGCUUAUUCUAUUUUAGCCUUUUUAGUCACACCACGCUAAUUUAGGGGAUAGGCUGAUGAUUCAGGAGGAAAUCAUUACAAAGUGGCAUUUUCUUAGUGAUUCCUGGCCCACAAGAGGGUCAUCUUAGAAAUCAAGAACACAGUUGGCUUUAGUUUAAUCCAUGACUGAACUGGAAAUAGAACACUCCUCCAGUUUUCUGGUAGAGGUUGUUAGUUCUCCACGCUCCUGUGUCACCAGCCUGGACCAGGAUAGAAUGUUUCACAACUGCAAGGAACUGAAUUUGGCCACAUGGAUUUCUCCUAAUUCCACAUGGCAACUUCCAAACAUUAUGGGUCAUCUAAUUUGCCCAAGAAGAUCCCUGCAUCUGGCCUUGCCAGCCACACCCUCCCUUUCAGCUAAGUCCUUAGAUCGGCCUUGUGCCCUCCAAGUCCUGCCAACAAUUCGGGCCCCUUGGCCUCCCACUUUCUCAAGCCCCUCGUUUCUAAGGGCCUUUUCCUGCACUCCAUGGGGGCACUCCAUGGCCAUCUUGGCAAAUAGCUCCAGUGCUGAGGACACAACUUCCAUGGCACUGGCCUUCUGUCCUUCGUGCCUUUCACUCUUCCCUUUGUUCACAGAGCCUUGGCACAUCCCCUUUUGACCAUCAGAGUCCCCUGGGGUGCUUGCUCACUUAGAUCUAACUAAAUGGUAUCUGCCCAGGCCCCAAAGCAAACUCUGGGGUCCUGCUGAAUCCCUGUGCCCAGAGAGGGCUCAAUAAAUAUUUAGUGAAUGAUUAAUUAAGUUGGUCAUUCAAAUCGGGACUCUCCAUUUACUUCUUCUCUAAGAUAUAUCUUCAAACUCCAAGCUCAUGUGAAUCCUUUUGUAGGUGAUUAAAUCAUAUGACAGCUGUUUAAUUGUGUGUGUAUAUAUAUAUAGGUAUGUUUACGGUCACUGAAUUUGAACUAUUUUUCUUUAUGUAUGUUCAGCCAUCCGAUGCCUUAAUUUUGGGGAAGAUAAAAAAUGUUGAUUGUGUCCUUCUUGCAAGGCACGGGAGGCAGCACACCAUCAUGCCUUCAGAAGUCAACCACCAGGCGAACAUCUGGGCCUUGAAGGAGGAAGGCUGCACUCACAUAGUAGUGACCACAGCUUGUGGCUCCUUGAGGGAGGAGAUUCAGCCCGGCGAUAUGGUCAUCAUUGAUCAGUUCAUCGACAGGACCACCAAAAGGCCUCAGACUUUCUAUGAUGGAAGUCAUUCCUGUGCCAGAGGAGUGUGCCAUAUUCCAAUGGCUGAACCAUUCUGCCCUAAAACGAGAGAGGUCCUCAUAGAGACCGCCAAGAAGCUAGGACUCCGGUGUCACUCAAAGGGGACAGUGGUCACAAUUGAGGGACCUCGUUUUAGCUCCCGCGCAGAAAGCCUCAUGUUCCGUGCCUGGGGGGCAGACGUUAUCAAUAUGACCACAGUUCCAGAGGUGGUUCUUGCUAAGGAAGCAGGAAUUUGCUAUGCAAGUAUUGCCAUGGCAACAGAUUACGAUUGCUGGAAGGAGCACGAGGAAGCGGUUUCAGUGGACAAGGUCUUAAAGAUCCUGAAAGAAAAUGCAAAUAAAGCCAAAAGUUUACUCCUCACUACCAUACCCCAGAUAGGGUCCAUGGAAUGGUCAGAAACCCUCCACAUGCUGAAGGAAAGGGAAAUGAGGAUCCAAGAGAGAGCUAUUCCUAAAGUCCCAUAACUGAUUUUUAAACUUCUAUGAACAUGAAAAUUAUCAGGAGAGCUUACUAAAGAAUGUGGCCCAGUUUUCUGUUGUAGUACCAAGACAUUAAAAUAGCAUGGCUGCCCAGGAGAAAAGAAGGCUUUGUAAUUCUAGUCACUUUAGGAAUUCCUGCUUAACUCGAAAGCAGCUUUCUUGCCCUUGCCCACUGAGGAAGAACGUGUGAUACGAAAGAUAAGAAACUGCACAUAUUAGCAACUCCUCCUACAGGAUUUGGGCUGCUUCAAAAAACAGAAGAAAAACAAAUGACCAGGAAACAGCUGGGAAAAUCUUACAACUUGGAGAACAGACAAGAGCUAGAUCACCCCCCAUCUCUCCUGUGCACACAUAAAUUUGCAACAGUAAAAUGAGGAGGAGUUUUCCAUAUUGCCAAGGAAUAUGAAGAAGAAAUUAGACUCUCUCGCUGUUGGUGUGACCGUAAAUUGGUACAGUCUUUUCUGCAGAGAAAUUUGGUAAAACAUAUCAAGAGGCUUACAAAUAUUUAUACCCUUUGAACUGGUUAUUCCUAGGAAUUUAUCUUUAAAAAGUUCUCAAAGAUACAUACAGAGAAUUAUAUGGAAAGAAGGAUAUUCAAUUUAGUGUUAGUUAUAAUAGCAGAAAUUCAAAACAAUCUGAAUAUCCAACAAUUGAAAUAAAUAAUGAUCUAGCUAUAAUAGAUUUUAAAGCAGCCAGCUGAAGAUCACAUUUUCAGAAAAUAUUUAAUGUCCUAAAGAUAUGGUUGCUUUGUAAUCUGAAGUGGGAAAGGGACAUGUAAACAUUUUACAGUAUUAAGUUUGGUUUACAUUUCUAUGUAUCCAUACAAAAGGAUUAGAAAGAAAUCUAUAUAUAUAAUCUUUUGUUACUGGAUUUGAGGAAGGCAUACUGGAUAAUUUUUAUUUUCUUUACAUUUUUCUGUAUCUUCACAUUUUUCUACGUUGACUAUAAGCAAAUAAUAAAGUUGUUUGUUUUAGAAAUAAAAAUGGACUUAAAGCUAGAUCUUGAAUACACAGUUUCUGGUAAUGAAGCAACAUUUGAGACAGUACUACUAAGAUUGCUACAUCUUUAUGUCAUUAAAAAAGAGUCUCAUUAAUGACUGUAUAAUCAGCUUGAGUUUGCAGCAGCUUCCUCAGAAAAACUGGGUGUUUAAUACUGAGUUAGUCUAAAAGUUAAACUACUUAAUAGACUGCAUACACACCUUAUAGUGUGUCAGGUAUUUUUAAAAUUAAUAUUUGACUUGUUUCUACUCCUUUCAUGAGCUGAAUUUUACAUGAAUUGGUGAUUUUUUUUAGAUAAAAAAAGAUGAAGUGGAAGCUUGCUUUCAACUGUUUAUUGUUAAUUUUAUAGGAAUGCUUUUUGUUUUUGUUGAAAGUUUUCUAUCACAAGGAGAUCUUAUUAUUUUCUCCUUCAGAAUUGUUAUUUUACUUUUUACUGUUGUCUGUUGCAGGGUAAUGGUGAUGUUCUUUUGUCAACCUAAAAAGCCUGUAAAGUUGAUGUGUUUCUAUGCGAUUGUCUUCAGGAUAGUAAGUGUCAAUUGUCAACAAUAAAAUAAACCAGAUACCCCUCUGUUUUAAUAUUGAGCUGUUUGGGUUUGUAUGAUUAUGACUCUUCAAUUCUCUGAUACAGUGGUUUGAACUCAGGUUGCUCAAUAAAGACCCAUGGAGGACCUAA